CGACAGCCCCCUCCUCCUCCUGCCUCCCGCUGUCGAUCAGACACUGACGACCUCCUGCCUCCCGUUAUCGAGACCGAUGCUGACGACCUCCCACCUCCCGCUAUCGAGACUGACGUCGACGACAGCCCCCUCCUCCUCCCGUCUCCCGCUGUAGAGAUCGCCACCGACGCCGUCAAUUCCGUCCGGGUCUGUUCAGAUUUCAAUUUCAUUGGUUAUCUAUGGCAAGAAAGAGUUUCUAUAUUGUGAAGAGAGGUCGACGAUGUGGCAUUUUCGAUAAUUGGGAGAAAUGCAAAUCUCAAGUUGAUAAAUUCCCAAAUGCCUCCUACAAAGGGUUUGCAACGUACGAAGAGGCUUUGCUUGAAUGGGAGAAGCACGCCAUCGCUCGUGAUUCAGCCUCCAGCUCAAGGCAUGUCCAGACACCAGUUCAAUUUCAACAACAAAUACUUCCGUCGGGGCAUAAUCUGGAUGACGACAAGGCGAAACUUGGGGAAACUGGUAUUUCCUCCAUUUAUGCUUUUGUAUUAGGUUCGGUGUUUACAAUAUUAGUGUUUCAAGUAUGUAUUGUUGCGCUAUUUGUUGGUUUCUCCAUUGCGAAAAACAUGUGAUGUGAUUUGUGGAUGAUUCUUCUAUGUGAGGAUAAGCUUGUAUAAUAUGGGUCAUUUUGUACUUA